AUUGAACGCUGGCGGCAGGCCUAACACAUGCAAGUCGAGCGAGCGGCGGACGGGUGAGUAAUGUAUGGGGACUGCCCGAUAGAGUGGGAUAACUACUGGAAACGGUGGCUAAUACCGCAUACUCUCUGCUAACCCAUAUGGGAUUAGCUAGUAGGUGGGGUAAAGGCUCACCUAGGCGACGAUCUCUAGCUGGUCUGCGAGGAUGAUGAGCCAGACUGGGACUGAGACACGGCCAAGACUCCUACGGAGGCAGCAGUGGGGAAGAGUGCGCAAAGGGUGCAACCCUGACGCAGCCAUGACGCGGGGAUGAAGAAGGCCUUAGGGGUGUAAAGUACUUGCAGCGGGGAGGCGUUACCCGCAGAAGAAGCACCGGCUAACUCCGUGCCAGCAGCAGCGGUAAUUC
rnacentral:rRNA from 1 species